rnacentral:rRNA from 1 species
AUCCUGGCUCAGGAUGAACGCUAGCGGCAGGCUUAACACAUGCAAGUCGGGGGUAGAGGAAGCUUGCUUCCUUGAGACCGGCGCACGGGUGCGUAACGCGUAUGCAACCUACCUUUACAGAGGAUAGCCCAGAGAAAUUUGGAUUAAUACCUCAUGGUAUAUAUCAUUCGCAUGUUUGAUAUAUUAAAGUUCCAACGGUAAAAGAUGGGCAUGCGUCCUAUUAGCUAGAUGGUAAGGUAACGGCUUACCAUGGCAACGAUAGGUAGGGGUCCUGAGAGGGAGAUCCCCCACACUGGUACUGAGACACGGACCAGACUCCUACGGGAGGCAGCAGUGAGGAAUAUUGGACAAUGGGCGCAAGCCUGAUCCAGCCAUGCCGCGUGCAGGAAGAAGCAUCUAUGGUGUGUAAACUGCUUUUGUACGGGAAGAAACACUCCUUCGUGAAGGAGCUUGACGGUACCGUAAGAAUAAGGAUCGGCUAACUCCGUG